GUUCAAUCGCAGCAAUCCAUAGCAAUUCGUUUUACCGAACCUUUUCAGAUCCCCUUUUCAUAUCAUCACUACUAUCCAUACCAUUGGUAAGAUUUUGUUACUAUGCUUUUAUUGAAUGUGUCUGAUUGUAUGGUUAUUGUGAUGUGCGUUAGAUAUGCGGUGUUCAGUUUCAUGGUGGUCGAUCUGUGGUGGUGGUAAGAUUCGGAAUGAAUUCUGUCUAAAUUUUUCAGUUUAGGUUUUGUUAUUAACUUACCCUCCAUUAAACCCUAAUUUUAGGUUGAUUUAAUAAUGUUUUGUAUAAGUAAAUGAUAUUUGUUCUGCAUUGACGGGGUCUAUUUAGAGGAACGCUUCAUCAGUAUUGUAAAUGCACAUGUUGCCAAAUUUCAAGAACCGUGAGUCUGCAGCCAGUUCCAGAGAAAGCAAACAGGCUUAUACUAAUGAGCUUGAGAGAGUUGUCAAGCAAUUGGAGACAUAAAAUAAGUUGUUAAUAGAAGAAGAGCUGAAAGAGUUGGUCCAUCCAAUUAUGGAGCAGAUACAAAAUUGGAGGCAUUGGAUAUCGAAUUCAAUAUAAACAUCUGAAAUAAGGGAUUGGAAUUUUGCUGAAUGGCCUAUUUGGAACACUAACUGGUUCAACGGUUUCUGUGUAUUUGCUAUUCUACUUACUAUCAUUCAUAGUUUUCAUUUUUAUGUGUGACUGAAAUUUAUUCUUUUAGUAUCAUGACAGAGAGAAUGUAGGACUUCUAGGAAGCAACCGUGUCGGAAGUCGAAGAGUCAUUCAAGUUUCUGUUGGCUUUAUGAUUUUCUUCUCAAUGUUAGGUGAGUAUCAAUCAAACUAUAAUGAUAUGUUGACUAAUGUGUAAAUCAAUUUCAGUCUCAACAUAAUCUGCUUAUCUCUUUCAAGUAAAUUUGGAGCUUUAUUUGUAUCAAUACCGUUCCCUAUAUUUGCUACUAUAUACUGCAUUUUAUUUGGUCCCUUGGGUAAGCACAAAUAAACCUUUGGUUUUUCUUAGUCAUCAAUAAGCUUUUACCACUCUAUUUGUUUUUGUGCAUAUCUAUGGAGUUAUUACAAUGGCAGAAUAUGGUGAAGCGCGACCAUUGCUGAACUUAGAUAUAUUAGGAAAAUAGCUAUGGAAACAAGUGAACUUCGAUAUAUCAGGACAGCUGCUAGCAGCUUAUGGCUAUGGGGAUCCAGAAUUUAAGUCAUGAAUUUACACCUACCAGAGCGACGUGUACAGUUUUGGAGUUGAUAGGUUAGAACGUUUGACAGGCCGUCCGUCCAAUGACAGUUCGGUGAUGCGGUAAAACUUUGUCCCGUCGUGGAUGCUUCAUACUGUCAAAGAACUCAAGAUAAAGAAGCGGAGCAAGAAUGCUUCCAAGAAACCGCCAAAAAAGAAGUGUUGUAUUUGAAGACUGUAGUAUCGUUAUUAGUGCUUGUGUUAAUACUAAAGUCAAAUGUGAAAUCUCAGAGGAAGAAUUUGUAUGUAAGUUGAGUUGUUAAAACAAUGACUCACAACAGUGUAAAUUAACAAAUUUGAUCAGUUAUAAUGUAAUAUCACAACUUUUAUAUUAAAAAAAUGUACAUCUAAUAUUAGAAGAUUGAAAACUACCACGAUAGUGAUGACUCAGACAGUGAUGAGGAAUUGACUGUAACACCUCAAGUUAUACUUACAAGGGAGACAGUUUACAAGGUGAAUUUGUCUGAUAAACAUUGAAGUUGAAUUAACAUUGUUAUUCUUUUAAUCUUUAGCUAAAUUAGCUUUUAUAUAAUCAUAUAUCUCUUUUUAAAUUCAAACAGAAUGAUAUAUAUAAGUUGAUAUGAGUGAUAUUGGCAUUGAUUAUCAAAGGAUAUAUUUAAGAAUUUUGAAGAGGUUAGGGUUGAGGGGUCCAUAAUGGAGUGGAAAGGUUGACCAUGUUAUUAUUAAUAUUUUGCUUCAAAUACUACAAUUUUAUUGACCCUGCUCGAAUAAUCAUACAUGUUUGUGUGUUUAAUGGUUAAUGCAGUUAAUUUUAAGGGAAUCAAAGUAUCCUGUUAUGUCGAGGUGAGUGUUAGGCUUUUCCUAUUGUUUGUAUGGAUGAGAAUACUGUAAGCAUUAGCUAAUUUUUUCUGUCACUUCAAGAAUUUUAUAUUAAAUUACUCCAUAGCAUGCUUAUAGUUGUAUCAUUAAUCUUUGUGGAUUUUC